GCCGAAAGGCUAAUUAUGAUCAGCAUGUUCAGGACGCUCCGUUGGUCGAAGGUCAGAUGGUUUAUAUCCAAGAUUUUGGUAAGAGAGGUCGUAAUAAAAUUCAAGACGUGUGGAAUUCUGUGGUGCACCGUGUGGUGAAGGCGCCGAGGGAGGGCGGUGCCGUUUACUCGGUUGUACCAGUGCACGAGCCAGAUAAGGUAAAGCAUGUUCAUUGGCCCUUAUUGAAGGCCCAAAAUCAGGGAGCGUUGCCUGAGCAGACACAGGAGGAUAGUUCCCCUGAACAGCAGGUGGUUGUACAGGAGGAAGAGCUUGAGGAGGCAGACUGGUUACUGGUGGGUUCCAGAGAGCAUCAAGCUCCUGUGGUACUGUGCCCUGAAGAGCCAGGUGGUGAGGAAUUACCCUCUGCUGGAGUGGUGGUAUUAGAACUUCAGGCUCCUGUUGCCCCACGCCCUGAGGAGCCAGGUUGUGUGGAAUUCUCUGCUAGUUUGGAGGUACCAAUGGGAAGGGCACCCUCAGUGCCCAUAGGACCUGAAUCGGGUGCACAGUCGGUUAGUGAGGUACCUGUGGGUACUGGGGUGCUUAACCAUUUUUCUGUUGAGGAGGAUGGCGCUCGGCGGUCAAGGCGAACGACGGCCGGCUAUCAUCCUAAUAUUCAUCGGCUUCCUCGGGCAGUGGGACAUUCUGCAUCUGAUGCUCCUAUAGGUUCUAGUGCGGUUACUGUGCUUUUUAGGCCAUGGAACUAAGACCAUCGUCAGGGCGACGACACAAAAUUAGGGGGUAGAUUGUGGCAUUACAGGUAAGAUGGGCAUGACUUUCUGAAAUUGCUAGGGCGGGCAUUAAUUUGCGUCAUGGAUUAUUAUCGUCUAUAAAAGCCAUUGGCUUAUGUACCUGGGUAGGCGUCAUUUUCCGGAAGUGGUUUGGCUUUUGUUGUCCUGCUGAACGUGACUGUGGGUCGGUAAAGGUUGGUUAAUUCAGCUUUUGAUGUAUUACAUUUUGCUUGGUUUUAAUUUGGUAUGUGUUAGUUUACUUGCAUUUGCAUUUGGUUUGUGCGUUGCUAGGAGUGCGACUGUGCGUACGGUCAGUUCUAUGUUUGGCGUUUUGCCGCGGCUGCCCUGUUCAGCUGAUGAAUGUGACUGCAUCUGUCCUUCUCCAGUUAAUGUUUUGCAUACGGGCGUCGGCUGUUGCAUAUAGGCUGUGUAUUUAAUCUUCUGGCCUCAUCCAGUUCCCGCAGUACUCGUUUGGGUUGGUAAUAUCCUCGCAGUGGCGUCACCGCUGUCUCGUUCUAGGUCAAACUUUGAGUCUCUGUGUGCGUUGGGUUACUGUUGUGUUGUUGGUCCCACGCCAGUGGAUUUCGUUUUUUUGUGUUCAUGUUUUGUUUUUGAAAGUUGAGUCUU